rnacentral:rRNA from 1 species
AUUGAACGCUGGCGGCAGGCCUAACACAUGCAAGUCGAGCGGAUGAAGGGAGCUUGCUCCUGGAUUCAGCGGCGGACGGGUGAGUAAUGCCUAGGAAUCUGCCUGGUAGUGGGGGAUAACGUCCGGAAACGGGCGCUAAUACCGCAUACGUCCUGAGGGAGAAAGUGGGGGAUCUUCGGACCUCACGCUAUCAGAUGAGCCUAGGUCGGAUUAGCUAGUUGGUGGGGUAAAGGCCUACCAAGGCGACGAUCCGUAACUGGUCUGAGAGGAUGAUCAGUCACACUGGAACCGAGACACGGUUCCGACUCCCAAGGGAGGGAGCAGUUGGGAAUAAUGGGCAAUGGGCGAAAGCCUGGACCAGCCAUGCCGCGUGUGUGAAGAAGGUCUUCGGAUUGUAAAGCACUUUAAGUUGGGAGGAAGGGCAGUAAGUUAAUACCUUGCUGUUUUGACGUUACCAACAGAAUAAGCACCGGCUAACUUCGUG